rnacentral:rRNA from 1 species
GACGAACGCUGGCGGCGUGCUUAACACAUGCAAGUCGAACGGAAAGGCCCUGCUUUUGUGGGGUGCUCGAGUGGCGAACGGGUGAGUAACACGUGAGUAACCUGCCCUUGACUUUGGGAUAACUUCAGGAAACUGGGGCUAAUACCGGAUAGGAGCUCCUGCUGCAUGGUGGGGGUUGGAAAGUUUCGGCGGUUGGGGAUGGACUCGCGGCUUAUCAGCUUGUUGGUGGGGUAGUGGCUUACCAAGGCUUUGACGGGUAGCCGGCCUGAGAGGGUGACCGGCCACAUGGGGACUGGAAGACGGCCCAGACUCCGACGGGGGGCAAAAGGGGGGAAUUUUGCAAAAGGGGCGGAAGCCUGAUGCAGAACCCCCGGGGGGGGGAGGAGGGCCUUGGGGUUGUAAACCGCUUUCGCCUGUGACGAAGGGUGAGUGACGGUAAUGGGGAAAGAAGCACCGGUAAAUUACGU